AACGAACGCUGGCGGCAGGCCUAACACAUGCAAGUCGAGCGAGAUCUUCGGGUCUAGCGGCGGACGGGUGAGUAACGCGUGGGAAUAUGCCCUUCUCUGCGGAAUAGCCUCGGGAAACUGAGCGUAAUACCGCAUACGCCCUUUGGGGGAAAGAUUUAUCGGAGAAGGAUUAGCCCGCGUUGGAUUAGGUAGUUGGUGGGGUAACGGCCUACCAAGCCGACGAUCCAUAGCUGGUUUGAGAGGAUGAUCAGCCACACUGGGACUGAGACACGGCCCAGACUCCUACGGGAAGCAGCAGUGGGGAAUCUUAGACAAUGGGGGCAACCCUGAUCGAGCCAUGCCGCGUGAGUGAUGAAGGCCUUAGGGUUGUAAAGCUCUUUCAGCUGGGAAGAUAAUGACGGUACCAGCAGAAGAAGCCCCGGCUAACUCCGUG
rnacentral:rRNA from 1 species